GUCAGUGUGGCCGAGUGGUUAAGGCGAUUGACUCGAAUUUCUCUCACAUUCGGUAUCAAUUCCAUUCGUGGGCACAGGUUCGAAUCCUGUCGCUGACG